rnacentral:ncRNA from 1 species
AUAUGAUAAAGGCAAACCAAUGGAAAUGUUGGGACGCAAAGCCUAGGCCUAAAGCAUCGAUACCGAUGCCAUGGUGGACAGGUUACCGGG